UACAGAGGGUGCUAGCGUUGUUCGGAAUCAUUGGGCGUAAAGGGCGUGUAGGCGGUUUGUUAAGUCAUGUGUGAAAUCCCUCGGCUCAACCGGGGAACGACGCAUGAAACUGGCAAGCUAGAGUACCAAAGAGGGGGGUGGAAUUCCCGGUGUAGUGGUGAAAUGCGUAGAUAUCAGGAGGAACACCGGUGGCGAAGGCGGCUCUCUGGACCACAACUGACGCUGAGGCGCGAAAGCUAGGGGAGCAAACAGG
rnacentral:rRNA from 1 species